rnacentral:rRNA from 1 species
GACGUAGGUGGCAAGCGUUACUCGGAAUUACUAGGCGUAAAGCGCGCGUAGGCGGAAUUUUAAGUCUGUUGUGUAAUCUCUGGGCUCAACCCAGAAACUGCAACAGAAACUGAAUUUCUUGAGUGAGGCAGAGGAAGACGGAAUUCCUGGUGUAGCAGUGAAAUGCGUAGAUAUCAGGAGGAACACCGGUGGCGAAGGCGGUCUUCUGGGCCUUUACUGACGCUCAAGCACGAAAGCUAGGGGAG